GUCGAGAAUCUUCCGCAAUGCGCGAAAGCGUGACGGAGCGACACCGCGUGAUGGAUGAAGUCCUUCGGGGCGUAAACAUCUUUUAUAAAGGAGGAAAUUUUUGACGUUACUUUAUGAAUAAGGGGCUCCCAAUCUCGUGCCAGCAGGAGCGGAAAUACGAGAGCCUCAAGCGUUAUCCGGAAUCAUUGGGCGUAAAGGGUGCGUAGGUGGAUUGAUUAGUCUCCCGUUAAAACUUCGAGCUUAACUCGAAAAGAGCGGGGGAAACGGUCAAACUAGAGUAUGUGAGAGGUGUGUGGAACUCAUGGUGUAGGGGUGAAAUCCGUUGAUAUCAUGGGGAACACCAAAAGCGAAGGCAGCACACUGGCACAUCACUGACACUGAGGCACGAAACCUAAGGUAGCGAAUGGGAUUAGAAACCCGAGUAGUCC
rnacentral:rRNA from 1 species